UUCGGUGUCAGCGGCGGACGGGUGAGUAACGCGUGGGAACGUGCCUUCUGGUUCGGAAUAACUCAGGGAAACUUGAGCUAAUACCGGAUACGCCCUUUUGGGGAAAGGUUUACUGCCGGAAGAUCGGCCCGCGUCUGAUUAGCUAGUUGGUGGGGUAACGGCCUACCAAGGCGACGAUCAGUAGCUGGUCUGAGAGGAUGAUCAGCCACACUGGGACUGAGACACGGCCCAGACUCCUACGGGAGGCAGCAGUGGGGAAUAUUGGACAAUGGGCGCAAGCCUGAUCCAGCCAUGCCGCGUGAGUGAUGAAGGCCUUAGGGUUGUAAAGCUCUUUUAUCCGGGACGAUAAUGACGGUACCGGAGGAAUAAGCCCCGGCUAACUUCGUGCCAGCAGCCGCGGUAAUACGAAGGGGGCUAGCGUUGCUCGGAAUCACUGGGCGUAAAGGGCGCGUAGGCGGUCUUUUAAGUCGGGGGUGAAAGCCUGUGGCUCAACCACAGAAUUGCCUUCGAUACUGGGAGACUUGAGUUCGGAAGAGGUUGGUGGAACUGCGAGUGUAGAGGUGAAAUUCGUAGAUAUUCGCAAGAACACCGGUGGCGAAGGCGGCCAACUGGUCCGACACUGACGCUGA
rnacentral:rRNA from 1 species